rnacentral:lncRNA from 1 species
GCCGCCGUUACUGCCUCAGCCGCCCCGCUGCUGCUGCGCGCCCGCCCGCCCUGCUGGCGUUUUGUUGUGGUUCCUGCUGUUUUCUUUCUCUCUUUUUGCAGCCCCCCCAGGCUCUCAGGCUCCCCCCCCCCAACACCCCUGCUCCCCUCGCCCGCUCCCCCCGCACUCCGUUCCUGGGGGGGCCUCUCUCUCUCUCCCCCCUCCCCACCCCCCAGCGAGCGAGCUCCCUUCUCUCGCUUUUUUCUUCUUCCCCAACUUGCAAAAUCAGAAAUGGCACAGGCGGCAGCCGGGAGCGGCGCGGGGCGCAGCGCCGGGGGCGGCGGGCAUGGGCCACGGCGCGCGCACACUCUCGCCCUCCGCCUCGCCCGCACCCCCGCGCACACACACACUCGCACACACACUCGCUCACCCGCGCCGGGCGCCCGCCCGCCCGCCCGCCCGCCCGCUGGCCGCUGGCCGCUGGGGCUACGCGCAGAGCGCGGGCUGAGCCGACAUAGAGGAAGCGGCGAGGGCGGCGGCGGCCGCGGAGGAGGAGGUCGCGGCUGCAGACGCUGCUGGAGGAGCUGGCCGCCGCUGCGUGCUCCGCUGGAGGAGCCCGGGCCCGGGCGGGAGUCCGAGCCGGAGUCGGGGCCGCAGCCCGAGAGCGAGCCGAGGCCGGUGCUGCCCGUGCCGCCGCCGCUGUCCUGGCGGGAGCCCUCGCCCGGUUUCAAGAGUGCGGGGAGCUGGGAGAGUCGAGCAGGAUCGGGACGAAGCUGCCGGCGAGGAUCAGGGCGCUCGGGUGUCUGGGGGCCAGGUCCAGGGCCGGACGCAGCCAGCCAUUCAGGAAGGCAGCGCUGGAGAGCGGGAGGCAGCCGGCGAGGAAGAUCACACACUUUGCUCUUUUUGUUGUGCGGGUGGCGCCGGGUUCUCUCUGCCUUCUUCUUUCGGGAGGUGACGGAAGGGGGAGAAAAAUACGAGAUAAUUCACGCCAGCGACGAAUUCACAGCGAAAUAGGAAAAAAAUAAAAAUCAGAAGAAAAUGCUUGAGAAAAUAAGGAAAAAGAGAAAGCGAGAGAGACAUCCAAAGUGGCCAUGGAAUGGUGUAGCAGAUUGCUGCAGAUGGUUUCAAUAGUUCUGCUGAAUGCUCCUUGUUUGUGCCUGCAAGAGGAACUCAAGGCUUUAUGUAUGGCCAUUGCUGUGACCUAGUGUGAUGCUCUACUUUUCCACUGAACUCUGCUUGCUCUAACUGAGGACCUUAGCUAUAAUUUAGCCUUUUCUUUUUAUAUUAAGCUGUUGUUGAGGAAGGAGCUUUGGCAAUAGAAGAAACCAAGCAGCAGGUUAAUUUCCACUGUUGACACAACUGGAAACGGAUCCCUACUUUAUGCAUUGGAGAUGCUAUGAAGACUACUCUGUCUGAUGUUUCCCUAUUGGGAUAGUGAAGUAUGAUGCUUCAUUGGUUGAGUGUAUGCAAUCAAAGUAAGAGUGAAAAAGGAAGAUCUGAGGAGUGGGCAGAUGCCUGCCGGGUAAACUAUUUGUGGCAUAAACUUGAGGACCCCACAGGAAAGCCAGAUGUUGUCAUGUGCUUCAAACCACAAUUCUGCUAUUGAAUGGGGGAUUACUGGUCAGUGACUAGCCAAAAUGGUGAGCUUCAUGUGCUGAGAGAACUACCUAUCUCAAAAAAAUAAGGUGAAAGGGCUAGAGAGGUGGCAAAGUAGCACUGACUGAUCUCUCAGAGGAGAACGUGGAUUCAACUCCUAGCACCCACAUAGCAGCCAACAACCAUCUGUAACUCCAGUCUCAGGGGAUUUAGUGCCUUCUUAUAUCCUCAGUGAACACUGCACAUAUAUUGUGCAUAGACAUACAUUCAGUCAAACAAACACUCAGACACAUAAAAAUAAAUGAAAUCUCAAAAUAUUUUAAAAAGAUAAUGUGGAGGGUGAUUGAGGCCUUAUAUUAAUCUUUAGACUUUACAAAAUGAGUUUUACACACACACACACACACAGAAAACACACAAACACACUAUAUGUACACACACAUAUAUACACUGACACA